GGAGACAGGUGGUGCAUGGUUGUCGUCAGCUCGUGUCGUGAGAUGUUGGGUUAAGUCCCGCAACGAGCGCAACCCUUGAUCUUAGUUGCCAGCACUUUGGGUGGGCACUCUAGGAUGACUGCCGGUGACAAACCGGAGGAAGGUGGGGAUGACGUCAAAUCAUCAUGCCCCUUAUGACCUGGGCUACACACGUACUACAAUGGCCGAUACAACGGGAAGCGAAACCGCGAGGUGGAGCCAAUCCUAUCAAAGUCGGUCUCAGUUCGGAUUGCAGGCUGCAACUCGCCUGCAUGAAGUCGGAAUUGCUAGUAAUCGCGGAUCAGCAUGCCGCGGUGAAUACGUUCCCGGGUCUUGUACACACCGCCCGUCACACCACGAGAGUUUACAACACCCGAAGCCGGUGGGGUAACCCGCAAGGGAGCUAGCCGUCGAAGGUGGGGUAGAUGAUUGGGGUGAAGUCGUAACAAGGUAGCCGUAUCGGAAGGUGCGGCUGGAUCACCUCCUUU
rnacentral:ncRNA from 1 species